rnacentral:ribozyme from 1 species
GACAACAAAUAUAUAUUUAAAAAUGAGUGCUGGAGAGAAAAAAAUGAAAAAGCCACCACAAACAUAUAUCAAACAGCAUCCAUCUUCUUGUCCACUGCCAUUGUUUUCGUUUCUUGCUUAUUGAUUUCUGACGUUUUUCUUUUUGUUCCUUCACGUUUUUAUUUUAAUUUGU